GUUGCCGGCCAUAGGGCAUGGGACCCACCCGUACCCAUUCCGAACACGGAAGUUAAACCAUGCUCCGUCUUUGGCUGUAGUGCGGUCUUCGGCCGUGCGAACCCAAGGAAGCUGGCAAUC
rnacentral:rRNA from 1 species